CCUACGGGAGGCUGCAGUGGGGAAUAUUGGACAAUGGGGGAAACCCUGAUCCAGCAAUGCCGCGUGAGUGAUGAAGGCCUUCGGGUUGUAAAGCUCUUUUGUCAGGGACGAUGAUGACGGUACCUGACGAAUAAGCUCCGGCUAACUUCGUGCCAGCAGCCGCGGUAAUACGAGGGGAGCUAGCGUUGUUCGGAAUUACGGGGCGUAAAGGGCGUGUAGGCGGUACCAUAAGUCAGAUGUGAAAGCCCUAGGCUUAACCUAGGAAUUGCAGUUGAUACUGUGGAACUAGAGAUCGGGAGAGGUAAGUGGAAUUACGAGUGUAGAGGUGAAAUUCGUAGAUAUUCGUAAGAACACCAGUGGCGAAGGCGACUUACUGGCUCGAUACUGACGCUAAGGCGCGAAAGCGUGGGGAGCAAACAGGAUUAGAUACCCCAGUAGUC
rnacentral:rRNA from 1 species